UUAAAAUUGAAUGAAUAAACUUCACUUUGAUUAAAUGAGCAAUUGCAAUUAAAAAAUUUGAUUAUUUCCAGCUUCUCUGAGGUAAAACAAAGAUUAAAUUAAAGCUAAAAUUCAUAAUAAUUCAAUAUAACUUAUGAUUUUAAUCAGCAAAUGAUAAUAUUCAAUUGAACCUCGCCUCAGUCAAUUUAUUGAAAUAUUUUUUGUGAAUUUAACAGUAAAUUGAUUGUAUCUAAAUUUUUACAUUAAUUAUCGGCAAUUUGUUAAAAAAUAUCUCUGACUAAAUCAAUGCAACUCGAUCAAUGUUCAAAGAUUAUGAUAAAAGUUCAAAUUGGGAGCUUGAUAAGAAAUAGAGGAAUUAAUUAUCUUGUUAACAAUACAAAACAUGACAAUAAUAGUGGUUGUAAUUAAGCUAACAAUUAGUUGGAAAUGUGUAUCGAAAGGCAAUUGAAUGGAUAAACCUAUUUUCCUGAUAAAUUGCAACAUAUUGCUGAAUAGUGAGCAUUUCAAGUAAAAAAGGAUGUUGUUAAUUGACGAAUACGAAUUGUCAGGAAGUUGUCACAAUUUAAAGCGAACGUUGUCGUUAUGAUUCAGGGUUGAAUCGAGUUUAUGAAUGGACCAAGAAUAACAAUUGAUCUUGAAUAUCAAUCUAACCAUAGAUAAAUUCAAAUACGAUAAUAUUCCUGAUAAUCAGCAAAAAUAAAACCGAUUAAGUGAUUCCCAGGAAAAUGCAUGAUUAGUAAAAUCAAACCAAUGAUUAAAGAUCAGGAAAUAUCGCUAAGAUUAACUUUCUUUGUUUCAAGACAAAAGCUUAAACUCAAACGCCUUGAGCUGAAAGACAAGCCAAGUGAGGCUAACUUCAGGUCAUGUUCAGUCCUUGUAAACAAUCAAAUCAACAACCUUGUUGAUCGUAAUCAUUAGAGCGACAUUAUGUUUACAACAUUAACAACAAUUUUGCCCUCAAUUGAGUAAAAUAGUCUAAUGGUAAGACAAUAAAUUUUGAUAAUUAAAGAUGAAAGUAAUUAUAAUUGAAGACAAUUUGCUUUUACUUUUUAACCUAAUUUUUUCUGGUUCCUUGACAACAUUAUUAUCCAGGAAUAGAUUGGAUGAUGGUUCAAUUGUGAUCUGUUAGAUCGUUGAUCAACGUCAAUACAUCUAAAUUGAGUUUAGCCCUGAAAAGGGUAAAGGGUAAACUCAAUCAUUUACUGAAUCAUUCAUCAACAUGACUGUCAUUUGGUUACAAAUCAUUUAACAGUGAAAAAAUACAAAAUUAGAAACAUAAAUCAAGCAACAUUCAAGGUUAACCUUAGUAAAUGAAUAAGGUUGAAAUGAACACAUCAAUAAUGUUAUUAACCAAAAUGGUUUGAGGUAAACAAUCAAAAAGAUGAACCUUUCCCGGUAAAUAAUCCAAAGAUAAAAGGAUGAUAUGAAUUAUGAAUGACAUGAGUUUAUAUAAUAGUUACGUUAUAUCGUCAAGUUAUUAAACAUGAAGGCGAAGCGUGAUAUUUUAUCUCACAAUCAACUUAAAAAAUUUAUCUAGUUUAAUGACUUUGAAUGAAUGCUCUUCAACUUGCAGCAUUAGUCUACGAAAUUAUUUUGAAAAAAAACAUUAUCGACAUGAAAAUAUCUUCAGAUAUGUUGAUAUGUUAAUGUUUAUUCAAUAAGUAUCAUAUCAAUACACAAUAUAUAUAAUCAUUUGAAGAUACAAUGAUGAUAUCGACAGUGAUGCUAAUGUUUCAUCCUUUAUAGUGAAAAGGUUAACAAUUGAACAGUUUUGAUUUCUUGCUUUGCAUAGUGAUUGAUCAUUCAACGUCCAAUUUAUUUUGUUCAUCAAUUUAGUAUAAUUUUUAGUGAUUUACUGAUUUGUUCAGAAAACUAUCACCUUUAAAAAUGCCUCCAAAGAAAGCAAUCCAAGGAAGCGGUUUUAUUCCACCAAUAGGACAAGUAUCAAUAGGAAACCAGUCUGGUAAGGUUGUCGUUAUUCGAGAGACUAAUGUAACAACGACCACUAAGGAGAAAAUCGUCGCUUACCCUAAAAAAUAACCUUUAAUCAACUGGAGUUUUUCAUGUAGUUUCCCUCAUUUACUGCUGUUAACUCUUAACAUUUAAUCAAUUUUUAUAUGUAGGAUUAAAGAUGUUCAAAUAAAUUUAUAAUCAUUUGCAACAAUUGAAAAACCAA